CAGGCUGCAACUCGCCUGCAUGAAGUCGGAAUUGCUAGUAAUCGCGGAUCAGCAUGCCGCGGUGAAUACGUUCUCGGGCCUUGUACACACCGCCCGUCACACCAUGGGAGUCGGUAACACCCGAAGUCUGUAGCCUGACGCAAGAGGGCGCAGCCGAAGGUGGGAUUGAUGACUGGGGUGAAGUCGUAACAAGGUACC
rnacentral:rRNA from 1 species